CUUCGGUGCGCGUGCUGGAGAGCGGCAGGAGCUCGGCCUUCUUAGGGUGUUUGGGACCCCAUCCAGCGUGGUUUUGCUUUAGUUCCCCGCCCAGGGAGAGGAGCUCGGCAAGCAGCACCGGGUUUAUUCUUGCUCAUUUAUUCAAAAGAAAGGUACUGAGUUUGAAAAUGCACCAAGCACUGGAGAGAAGAGAAAGGUGAAAGGACCUCGGGGCCUGCCUGUAAGAGGCUCAGGAUGUGAUGUGGCUGGGGAUGAGGCCCGGUGGCACCUUCAACGCAGGAGAGGAGGGGGUCUGGAUCCCACCGUCAGAGCACGCACGCAACCUGUCCACUCCCUCAGGACUGCAGAAAAGGUCCAUUCUUGUAUUUCUUUUUAAGUUGAAUUAAAUCCAUCUCUAGCCCCUGCCUCUGAACUGAUGGAGUCUGGCUGUCAUUGGGCCUCCCUCACCCGCAAGGGGUGGAACCAGAGCUUGGGGCUGAGGCGCUCCUGGAGUGUUUAGCGCCUCUGCUGUCAGGACAUCCUGUGGCCACUGGCACGCUGUCUGCCCACACAGUGCCCCCGACCAGCAGCGGAGCCACCCACUCUCCACAGCCAGGGUUGGGAGCCCUGGGGCCCGAGUCCCCGGUCCCACGUGCCACACAAGGCAGGACAUUCUGGGUGCUGUCGCAUCCCCGGAAUCAGGGCCUGGACCCUGGUCAGAGCAGGACCUGCAGGUGACCCCGGGUGGGGCAGACUGUCUUCUGUCCUUGGUGGCAAAGCCGGUGUUCUCGGCGUCAUGUCUGCACACGUGUGCCUGAAGCCACGGGAACGCAGGGGCUACCUCUGGGCCUGGGCCUGGACCUGUGGAGCAGGAUCGGGGAGGACACACAGGUGGGCGUCUCAAGAACUGUGGUGUACACAGCUGAGCCCCUGCAGCUCUGCUUUGCCGGGCCUCACCCUCGGUGCUGGGUGCAAGACGUGACAAGAUGGCAUGGGAAGCUUCCCGGGGAACGCUGGAACUGGGUGUUUGAAGGAGGACCUCAUGGCGGCAGCUCCAGCCCAAGUACUGCAACUGUGGGGCCGUGCCAGGAGCAGGUGCUGCGGAGCCUGUGUGGGUCCAGGACAAGAGGAGCACCAGAAGCUCCUGGAGGGCGGUGCAGACGACACUGUCGGGCCGGCCCAGCCCAGGCCCCAGCAGUUGACUCCUCUGUGAUCAGAGGAUGUGGCUGAGGAUGUGCAUUUCCGUCAAGUUCCCAGGAGAACCUGGUGCUGCUGCUUCGGGGACCCCACUUUGAGGACCACUGAUCUAACACUGCCCCUCGUGGCAAACGCGGAAUGACUCAAGAUUCAGCUGGAUGGAUCAUUCAGGGAGCAAAUCCACCCUUGCCGCCUGGCACACCCUGGCCAUUCGGUAACGAUGCCAUCAGGGUUACUGGCUUCUUCAUUCUCCACUGUGCAUUCCAGGGUGGGCAUUUCCACAGUUGUGAGCCCAUCAUCAACUCAGCGAGUUCCCAUUUUCCAGUUAGAAAAUAAGCUUUCUGAUCGUUAGCCAUUCACUUCAAUUGGCUCUAGAAAAGAUUUCUGGGAUGUAUAAUUUAUUUUUAACAUAAAGAAAAGCUAAGUGUAAACUAGAUAAGCUACAAUUGUCCCAGACGUUAUAGACACUCACAGCACCGUUUUCCUCUUCUAGCAAAACAAAACAAAAAAUUCUGCAAUCAUACAGGCAGUAGGAAAAAAAAAUUAGCUGGACACCAUGGCUCACACCUGUAACCC
rnacentral:lncRNA from 1 species